UCGCUUUGGCAGCACAUAUACUAAAAUUGGAACGGUAGAGAUUAGCAUGGAUGCUGUGCAAGGAAAACACACAAAUUCAUGAAGCACUCCAUAUUUUU
rnacentral:snRNA from 1 species